GGCGGAUUUCUCAUCAUUUUUCAAAGACUGAAGGUUGUCUUUAAUUCCAUCAAGUUCUCUUGAUGUCUUUGUCAGCUGAUGGAGGAUAGUGCUUCGCUCCUUAAAGACGUCUUUCAG